rnacentral:rRNA from 1 species
UGAGGAAUAUUGGUCAAUGGACGAGAGUCUGAACCAGCCAAGUAGCGUGCAGGAUGACGGCCCUAUGGGUUGUAAACUGCUUUUGUUUGGGAAUAAUCGACAUUACGUGUAAUGUUUUGCAUGUACCAUUCGAAUAAGGACCGGCUAAUUCCGUGCCAGCAGCCGCGGUAAUACGGAAGGUCCAGGCGUUAUCCGGAUUUAUUGGGUUUAAAGGGAGUGUAGGCGGUUGGUUAAGCGUGUUGUGAAAUGUAGAUGCUCAACAUCUGACUUGCAGCGCGAACUGGCUGACUUGAGUACACACAACGUAGGCGGAAUUCAUGGUGUAGCGGUGAAAUGCUUAGAUAUCAUGAAGAACUCCGAUUGCGAAGGCAGCUUACGAGAGUGUUACUGACGCUUAAGCUCGAAGGUGCGGGUAUCGAACAGG